CGGUAAUUCCAGCUCCAAUAGCGUAUACUAAAGUUGUUGCAGUUAAAAAGCUCGUAGUUGGAUUUCUGCGGGGACGGAGCGGCCGGACGCAACUUGCGUCUCGAGCUAGCGCUUUCCCCGCAUCCUGCCGCGAACCGUGCUACCAUUAGCUUGGUGGCGCUGGGGAUCGGCUCGAUUACUUUGAGAAAAAUAGAGUGUUCAAAGCAGGCCACACGCCUUGAAUAAGUUAGCAUGGAAUAAUGACUAAGGACUUUGGUUCUUUUCGUUGGUGUUCGGGACUGAAGUAAUGAUUGAUAGGGACAGUUGGGGCGGUCUGUAUUCCAAAGCGAGAGGUGAAAUUCUUAGACCUUCGGAAGACAAACAGCUGCGAAAGCGUUCCGCAAGGAUGUUCCCUUUGAUCAAGGACGAAAGUUAAAAAAUCGAAGACGAUCAGAUACCGUCGUAGUCUCAACUAUAAACUAUACCAGCUAGGGAUCGGCCAACGUUUAAUUAUUCGACUUGGUCGGCACCUUAUGAGAAAUCAAAGCAUCUGGGUUCCGGGGGAAGUAUAGUCGCAAGGCUGAAACUUAAAGGAAUUGACGGAAGGGCACCACCAGGCGUGGAGCCUGUGGCUUAAUUUGACUCAACACGGGAAAACUUACCAGGUCCAGACAUAGGAAGGAUUGACAGAUUGAUAGCUCUUUCUUGAUUCUGUGGGUGGUGGUGCAUGGCCGUUUUUAGUCGGUGAAGUGAUUUGUCUGCUUAAUUGCGUUAACGGACGAGACCCCAACCUGCUAAAUAGCGCGGCCGAGCUUUGCUCGGUGCGAGCUUCUUAGAGGGACCAUGAUGCGCGAUAGCACAAGGAAGUUUGGGGCAACAACAGGUCUGUGAUGCCCUUAGAUGUUCUGGGCCGCACACGGGCUACACUGGCGCCUGCAACGAGCAUAUCAGCUGGCCCGAGAGGGUCUUGGCUAAUCUUUGGAACCGGCGCCGUGCUUGGGAUUGACCAUUGCAAUUGUUGGUCAUGCAACGAGGAAUGCCUUGUAAACGCGAGUCAUCAGCUCGCAUUGAAUACGUCCCUGCCCUUUGUACACACCGCCCGUCGCUCCUACCGAUGAAUGUUCCGAUGAAAUUUUCGGAGAGCACCGGAGAACGGGGCUCUGCCCUGCAGAACUGGAGGCCCAAAGUCACUUAAAUCUGAACAUUUCGAGGAAGGAGAAGUCGUAACAAGGUAGCCG
rnacentral:rRNA from 1 species